rnacentral:rRNA from 1 species
CAACCUACCUAUCAGAGGGGAAUAACCCGGCGAAAGUCGGACUAAUACCGCAUAAAACAGGGGCACCGCAUGGUGAUAUUUGUUGAAGAAAUUCGCUGAUAGAUGGGCAUGCGUUCCAUUAGGUAGUUGGUGAGGUAACGGCUCACCAAGCCGACGAUGGAUAGGGGAACUGAGAGGUUGGUCCCCCCCACUGGUACUGAGACACGGACCAGACUCCUACGGGAGGCAGCAGUGAGGAAUAUUGGUCAAUGGGCGAGAGCCUGAACCAGCCAAGUCGCGUGAAGGAAGAAGGAUCUAUGGUUCGUAAACUUCUUUUGCAGGGGAAUAAAGUGCAGGACGUGUCCUGUUUAGUAUGUACCCUGAGAAUAAGGAUCGGCUAACUCCGUGCCAGCAGCCGCGGUAAUACGGAGGAUCCGAGCGUUAUCCGGAUUUAUUGGGUUUAAAGGGUGCGUAGGUGGUUUGAUAAGUCAGCGGUGAAAGUUUGCAGCUUAACUGUAAAAAUGCCGUUGAAACUGUCGGACUUGAGUGUAAAUGAGGUAGGCGGAAUGCGUGGUGUAGCGGUGAAAUGCAUUGAUAUCACGAAGAACUCCGAUUG